AAGUAUUGCACAAUGGGGGAAACCCUGAUGCAGCCAUGCCGCGUGUGUGAAGAAGGCCUUCGGGUUGUAAAGCACUUUCAGUAGGGAGGAAGGUAGUGUAGUUAACACCUGCAUUAUUUGACGUUACCUACAGAAGAAGCACCGGCUAACUCCGUGCCAGCAGCCGCGGUAAUACGGAGGGUGCGAGCGUUAAUCGGAAUUACUGGGCGUAAAGCGCAUGCAGGCGGCCUGUUAAGUCAGAUGUGAAAGCCCGGGGCUUAACCUCGGAAUUGCAUUUGAAACUGGCAGGCUAGAGUCUUGUAGAGGGGGGUAGGAAUUUCAGGUGUAGCGGUGAAAUGCGUAGAGAUCUGAAGGAAUACCAGUGGCGAAGGCGGCCCCCUGGACAAAGACUGACGCUCAGAUGCGAAAGCGUGGGGAGCAAACAGGAUUAGAUACCCUGGUAG
rnacentral:rRNA from 1 species